AAAAAAGAAAAAAGAAAAAACGAAAACGAAAAAGUCUAUUCCGCAUGGUG
rnacentral:ribozyme from 1 species